CAGCCGUAAACGAUGUGCGUUAGGUGUAUCGGUGACCACGAGUCACCGAGGUGCCGAAGAGAAAUCGUGAAACGUACCGCCUGGGAAGUACGGUCGCAAGGCUGAAACUUAAAGGAAUUGGCGGGGGAGCACCACAACAGGUGGAGCCUGCGGUUUAAUCGGACUCAACGCCGGGAAACUCACCAGAUAAGACAGCUGAAUGAUAGUCGGGCUGAAGACUCUGCAUGACUAGCUGAGAGGUGGUGCAUGGCGUAGACGUCU
rnacentral:rRNA from 1 species